rnacentral:rRNA from 1 species
GAUGAACGCUGGCGGUCUGCUUAACACAUGCAAGUCGAACGCAACCUUCGGGUUGAGUGGCGGACGGGUGAGUAACGCGUGAGAAUCUGCCUUGGGGUCGGGGACAACCACUGGAAACGGUGGCUAAUACCGGAUAAGCCUUUGGGUAAAAGAUUUAUUGCCCCAAGAGGAGCUCGCGUCUGAUUAGCUAGUUGGUGAGGUAAAAGCUCACCAAGGCAGCGAUCAGUAGCUGGUCUGAGAGGACGAUCAGCCACACUGGGACUGAGACACGGCCCAGACUCCUACGGGAGGCAGCAGUGGGGAAUUUUCCGCAAUGGGCGAAAGCCUGACGGAGCAAGACCGCGUGAGGGAGGAAGGCUCUUGGGUUGUAAACCUCUUUUCUCAGGGAAGAAGCUCUGACGGUACCUGAGGAAUCAGCCUCGGCUAACUCCGUGCCAGCAGCCGCGGUAAUACGGAGGAGGCAAGCGUUAUCCGGAAUUAUUGGGCGUAAAGCGUCCGCAGGUGGCGAUUCAAGUCUGCUGUCAAAGCACGGGGCUUAACUCCGUUAAGGCAGUGGAAACUGAAUAGCUAGAGUGCCGUAGGGGUAGAGGGAAUUCCCGGUGUAGCGGUGAAAUGCGUAGAGAUCGGGAAGAACAUCGGUGGCGAAAGCGCUCUACUGGACGGCAACUGACACUCAGGGACGAAAGCUAGGGGAGCGAAUGGGAUUAGAUACCCCAGUAGUCCUAGCUGUAAACGAUGGAUACUAGGUGUAGCUUGUAUCGACCCGAGCUGUGCCGAAGCUAACGCGUUAAGUAUCCCGCCUGGGGAGUACGCACGCAAGUGUG